ensembl:lncRNA CDKN2B-AS1 CDKN2B antisense RNA 1
GGACACGGCGCGGCGCUGGCGCUGCCGGAGCUGUCGACCCGGCCUGGCGCCGGACUAGGACUAUUUGCCACGACAUUUCAAAGGAUUCCAAGAGAGAAUAUUGGUGUCCAUGCUGUGAUGAUUCCUCAGCUCCUCUCAUCUGAUCUCCGUCCUGGCCCCCAUGACUUUCUUUGUGGUAGUUAGGGUGUGGUAUGUGCCACUGAGGCCCACACCUAUUGCUUGUCCCUUUUGAUGAGAAGAAUAAGCCUCAUUCUGAUUCAACAGCAGAGAUCAAAGAAAAGACUUCUGUUUUCUGGCCACCAGAUAUAUGUUAUCUGUGCUUAAAGAAUUGAAAAACACACAUCAAAGGAGAAUUUUCUUGGAAAGAGAGGGUUCAAGCAUCACUGUUAGGUGUGCUGGAAUCCUUUCCCGAGUCAGUACUGCUUUCUAGAAGAAAACCGGGGAGAUCUAUUUGGAAUGUAUCUAACUCCAAAGAAACCAUCAGAGGUAACAGGUGGAGAACUUCAGUAGAGGAAGUGGCAGGAAUUUGGGAAUGAGGAGCACAGUGAUUAAACUGGGGCCAUUCAUAUGAGAGUUUAAGAACUCAGACCAGUGACUUAGCUAUGUCU